UACGUAGGGGGCAAGCGUUGUCCGGAUUUAUUGGGCGUAAAGAGCGUGUAGGCGGCCUGACAGGUCUGCUGUGAAAACUCGAGGCUCAACCUCGAGAUGUCGGCGGAAACCGUCUGGCUAGAGUCCGGAAGAGGAGAGUGGAAUUCCUGGUGUAGCGGUGAAAUGCGCAGAUAUCUGGAGGAACACCGGUGGCGAAGGCGGCGUUCUGGACUGCAACUGACACUGAGGAACGAAAGCCAGGGGAGCAAACGGG
rnacentral:rRNA from 1 species